GCGAACGCUAGCGAAACAAUGUCGCGGCGGCUUCCCAAGCCGAGGGUCGCGGGCUCAAAUCCCGUCGCCCGCUCCA
rnacentral:tRNA from 1 species